UUGAGACUGCAUUGAGUUUUCGAAAUUCUUGGGCUGGUUACAAGGAAACUGUUGGGCUGUGGGAUUGUCUGGCUAUUAUGCAUAUAUUUUGAACAACUUCUUUUUUUAAGAACAUUUUCUUACCAGUUUUUUACUCCAUUUGAAGGUUUACCCAACCUUCAUAUUGAAUAGCUGCUUACAGGAUGAUGAGUAUAUUGCAUCUUUGCAAGCUGGCAGAGAAAAAGAGCUGCUAGAACAGUCAGCCAAAGAAGCUGCUAUUGAAGAAGAAAGGCGUAAGGAAGAAGAGGCACACAUAAAGUUGGAAGAAGAACAUGUGAUGGGUGUUUAAUAUAGUUGCCCCGUAAACUGUUUAUGCAUAUUGGAAUGUGUUAACUGCUCACAACGUGCUUCACCACCACCAACCCUUUCUAUCCAAAAUAGUUGCUCUAGACCAAAUAUGAACCCAAACAGAAGCACAAGUGAUAUUAGCCGUGGGUUGUAGGCUAUGAAAGGCUGCAACCCAUAAGCAGAGUACAGAGCUUAUGCAAGUCGAUGCCCUUACAAAUGACGAAGUUAAAAGCCAUCUGCAAAAAUGAAGACUUCAUUCAUGGAGACUGCCAUAUUACUUGGUGCCAUAGUUAUAAUUUUAUAUGAAUUUAUGGGCAUAUUUAAAAAUAGAUACAGAUGUAAUGUAUAUAUGUAUUCUGAGAUGAAUUUUAGUUUAUGGGUUUAAUUUCUUUUUGAAAAGUAGUUUAUGGGUUUAAUUAGGUUGAUAAGUUGCGUUCGCGAGUGUAUGAGAAAUAGUCGGGCUUAUUUGUUGGCCAAUAUAAGAAAAUUACACUGAUACUUCAAGGGUGAUUUUAAUGAUGGCAUAUAAACUCUCAAGAGUAUUUUGCACUUUUUCAUGGAAUAUAAUGCAAAAUGGGUAGAUCUUUUGUUUUUUUAACUGUAUAUAUAAUAUAUAGGAGGAUUUUAUGUUGCUAUGCCCAAAACAUAUAUUUAUGAAAUU